rnacentral:ncRNA from 1 species
GAAUCACUACAGGGGAGCGCCGAUCAACGGGCGCUGAGAGUGCGAAUGCAGACCCUUUGAACCUGAUCCGGUGAGCACCGGCGGAGGGAGUGGAAGAGAGAUGACA